rnacentral:rRNA from 1 species
AACCGGGCGUUAAGUUGCAGGGUAUAGACCCGAAACCCGGUGAUCUAGCCAUGGGCAGGUUGAAGGUUGGGUAACACUAACUGGAGGACCGAACCGACUAAUGUUGAAAAAUUAGCGGAUGACCUGUGGCUGGGGGUGAAAGGCCAAUCAAACCGGGAGAUAGCUGGUUCUCCCCGAAAGCUAUUUAGGUAGCGCCUCGUGAAUUCAUCUCCGGGGGUAGAGCACUGUUUCGGCUAGGGGGCCAUCCCGGCUUACCAACCCGAUGCAAACUGCGAAUACCGGAGAAUGUUAUCACGGGAGACACACGGCGGGUGCUAACGUCCGUCGUGAAGAGGGAAACAACCCAGACCGCCAGCUAAGGUCCCAAAGUCAUGGUUAAGUGGGAAACGAUGUGGGAAGGCCCAGACAGCCAGGAUGUUGGCUUAGAAGCAGCCAUCAUUUAAAGAAAGCGUAAUAGCUCACUGGUCGAGUCGGCCUGCGCGGAAGAUGUAACGGGGCUAAACCAUGCACCGAAGCUGCGGCAGCGACACUGUGUGUUGUUGGGUAGGGGAGCGUUCUGUAAGCCUGUGAAGGUGUGUCGUGAGGCAUGCUGGAGGUAUCAGAAGUGCGAAUGCUGACAUAAGUAACGAUAAAGCGGGUGAAAAGCCCGCUCGCCGGAAGACCAAGGGUUCCUGUCCAACGUUAAUCGGGGCAGGGUGAGUCGACCCCUAAGGCGAGGCCGAAAGGCGUAGUCGAUGGGAAACGGGUUAAUAUUCCCGUACUUGGUGUUACUGCGAAGGGGGGACGGAGAAGGCUAUGUUGGCCGGGCGACGGUUGUCCCGGUUUAAGCGUGUAGGUGUGUGUUCCAGGUAAAUCCGGUUCACUUUAACACUGAGGCGUGACGACGAGGCACUACGGUGCUGAAGCAACAAAUGCCCUGCUUCCAGGAAAAGCCUCUAAGCAUCAGGUAACAUCAAAUCGUACCCCAAACCGACACAGGUGGUCAGGUAGAGAAUACCAAGGCGCUUGAGAGAACUCGGGUGAAGGAACUAGGCAAAAUGGUGCCGUAACUUCGGGAGAAGGCACGCUGACACGUAGGUGAAGUGAUUUACUCAUGGAGCUGAAGUCAGUCGAAGAUACCAGCUGGCUGCAACUGUUUAUUAAAAACACAGCACUGUGCAAACACGAAAGUGGACGUAUACGGUGUGACGCCUGCCCGGUGCCGGAAGGUUAAUUGAUGGGGUCAGCGCAAGCGAAGCUCCUGAUCGAAGCCCCGGUAAACGGCGGCCGUAACUAUAACGGUCCUAAGGUAGCGAAAUUCCUUGUCGGGUAAGUUCCGACCUGCACGAAUGGCGUAAUGAUGGCCAGGCUGUCUCCACCCGAGACUCAGUGAAAUUGAACUCGCUGUGAAGAUGCAGUGUACCCGCGGCAAGACGGAAAGACCCCGUGAACCUUUACUAUAGCUUGACACUGAACAUUGAGCCUUGAUGUGUAGGAUAGGUGGGAGGCUUUGAAGUGUGGACGCCAGUCUGCAUGGAGCCGACCUUGAAAUACCACCCUUUAAUGUUUGAUGUUCUAACGUGGACCCGUUACCCGGGUUGCGGACAGUGUCUGGUGGGUAGUUUGACUGGGGCGGUCUCCUCCUAAAGAGUAACGGAGGAGCACGAAGGUUGGCUAAUCCUGGUCGGACAUCAGGAGGUUAGUGCAAUGGCAUAAGCCAGCUUGACUGCGAGCGUGACGGCGCGAGCAGGUGCGAAAGCAGGUCAUAGUGAUCCGGUGGUUCUGAAUGGAAGGGCCAUCGCUCAACGGAUAAAAGGUACUCCGGGGAUAACAGGCUGAUACCGCCCAAGAGUUCAUAUCGACGGCGGUGUUUGGCACCUCGAUGUCGGCUCAUCACAUCCUGGGGCUGAAGUAGGUCCCAAGGGUAUGGCUGUUCGCCAUUUAAAGUGGUACGCGAGCUGGGUUUAGAACGUCGUGAGACAGUUCGGUCCCUAUCUGCCGUGGGCGCUGGAGAACUGAGGGGGGCUGCUCCUAGUACGAGAGGACCGGAGUGGACGCAUCACUGGUGUUCGGGUUGUCAUGCCAAUGGCACUGCCCGGUAGCUAAAUGCGGAAGAGAUAAGUGCUGAAAGCAUCUAAGCACGAAACUUGCCCCGA